AUACGUAGGUGGCAAGCGUUAUCCGGAUUUACUGGGCGUAAAGGGCGUGUAGGCGGUCUUGCAAGUCUGAAGUGAAAUUCCUGAGCUCAACUCGGGCGCUGCUUCUGAAACUGCAGGACUUGAGUGCUGGAGGGGAUAGCGGAAUUCCUAGUGGAGCGGUAAAAUGACCAGAUAUUAGGAAGAACACCGGUGGCGAAGGCGGCUAUCUGGACAGUAACUGACGCUGAGGCGCGAAAGCGUGGGGAGCAAACAGGAUUAGAUACCCUGGUAGUCCGUGCCGUAAACGAUGAAUACUAGGUGUAGGGGGUAUCGACUCCCUCUGUGCCGCAGUUAACACAUUAAGUAUUCCACCUGGGGAGUACGGCCGCAAGGUUGAAACUUAAAGGAAUUGACGGGG
rnacentral:rRNA from 1 species